UGUGUGUGUGUGUGUGUGUGUGUGUGUGUGUGUGUGUGUGUGUGUAUACAUACAUACAUACACACACACACACCCCCA